rnacentral:rRNA from 1 species
GACAGAGGGUGCAAACGUUGUUCGGAAUUACUGGGCGUAAAGCGUGUGUAGGCGGCCGCGCAAGUCGGAUGUGAAAGCCCGAGGCUCAACCUCGGAACUGCCUUCGAUACUGCGGGUCUCGAGUCCGGGAGAGGUGAGUGGAAUUCCUAGUGUAGAGGUGAAAUUCGUAGAUAUUAGGAAGAACACCAGUGGCGAAGGCGGCUCACUGGCCCGGUACUGACGCUGAGGCGCGAAAGCGUGGGGAGCAAACAGG